rnacentral:lncRNA from 1 species
UCCUCUUCAAAGUGAGGUAGAUUGUGAUUUUUUUUGAAAACAAGAUUAUUUUGAGAAUUUUUUGAAAAAUUGAGUUAUUUGGAUAAAAAUUUUGAUUGAUUUUCCAAAAGGAUAUAAUUUAUUUUUUAUUUUUUUCCAAAUUUUUAUUUUUAUUUUUGAGUUUCUUAAUAUAUAUACUCUAAGUACACAAAUUAUCGUAACUUUUUAUUGUAACCUUCCUAGG